rnacentral:rRNA from 1 species
UACGUAGGCGGCGAGCGCUAUCCGGAAUUACUGGGCGUAAAGCGUACGCCGGCGGCUUCUUAAGUCUGACGUGAAAGCUCCCGGCUUAACUGGGAGAGGUCGUUGGAGACUGGGGGGCUUGAGGCGAUGAGAGGGGUGUAGAAUUCCCGGUGUAGUGGUGGAAUGCGUAGAUAUCGGGAGGAAUACCAGUGGCGAAAGCGACACCCUGGCAUAGGCCUGACGCUCAUGUACGAAAGCGUGGGGAGCAAACGGG